UACGGAGGGUGCAAGCGUUAUCCGGAUUCACUGGGUUUAAAGGGUGCGUAGGUGGGCAGGAAAGUCAGUGGUGAAAUCUCCGGGCUUAACCCGGAACUGCCGUUGAUACUAUUUGUCUUGAAUAUUGUGGAGGUAAGCGGAAUAUGUCAUGUAGCGGUGAAAUGCUUAGAUAUGACAUAGAACACCAAUUGCGAAGGCAGCUUACUACACAAUGAUUGACGCUGAGGCACGAAGCGUGGGGAUCAAACAGGA
rnacentral:rRNA from 1 species